GGAAGAGUUGGUGAGAGCCGCGGCGCCUCCCGACUCGCAGAUAUAAAAAAAUUGUAUCCUGCUACACAUUAGGAGAGGAUGAUGGGGGAUGAAAUUAGGAAUAUGUUGCCUGACUUUGAAGUCUCUGUCCCUGAUGACCUCUGUCCACUAUAUUUCAGUGAUUUCAAUGGGAACAGAAAGUGAAAAUUCCUUGGAGAUUACUUCUCAGUGAUGCAAGCUAAAUCUGCAAGGAUAUCUGGAAAGGCAGCGUGUAUCUCAGUUGUGUGAGGUUGAAGAUCUUAGGCUGUUGAGACACUGAAAUUGCAGAUGAGUCACAAGCAUCUGGCAGGGUCCUGCAGUUGUGCAUGGCGACUCCAGUCCCUCCCAGCAGGUUGAGGGAGGCUUCCCUACCUGCAUGGAAGUAAGCCAGCAGCUUCCCACACAGAUGAUGGCUGUUACAAAGGAGACUUUUCAACACUCAGAUUUCAAGGCUUGUGGAACAGGUGACAAAGCGACAGAUGGAAGAGGGAGGGAGAGGAGGAGUGUGAAUGGAUUUCCCAUUUUGAGGCCGGACUUCAUCCUAAUGGGAACAGAGGGGUGCAAGGAGAGCCACUGUGACCCUUAGGUCACAUGGUUAGGAACAAAGUCUUGAGGGGAAACCUCCAGCUCCACCCAAUUUCCAGAGUGGUUUUGCUUGGAAGAGCACUGUACAGUCUGGUGUGGCUGUGAUGUCUCUGAAGGAAAAAGUCUCCAAGGGCCUUGUGCAAUGUGUGGCAGAAAAGGAAUCCCAACCUAGCAGGCAAAUCCCAGGCAAGGCCAUAGAGCUGUGGUAUCUGCCAUGGGGCACUGCCAUUGGGCUCCCAGAAAAUGGACGCUAAGCUGAGGAAGCAAGGGUUGCCCAGGAGAAAGGUGCACCCACCUGCAAACCAAUCUCCACGUCUUCUUCAGGCCUUGGAGCUGGCUGCUCUGCAGAGCACAUACAAUAGCAAAAACAGUGCAGAUAUUCUUACGAAGGUGGGACUUCUAGGGCUGAAGAAUGGGUGAGGUGAGCUGUGGAGGGAGCUCCUGGGGUCCUGCUUUGGCCCUUGGGCUGAGCCUUUCUUACUGGGCUGAACUGGGACAGCUUGGGGGAGUGGAAUGUCAGUGGAAGCAGGGCAGGAAUGCACACAGCCCAAGUGAGGGCAGAGUACUAGGGGGCCUGUUGGGCUAGGCAGUGGGUGUGAGUGAGCAGGCAGCCACCUGGUAGGAAUGGGAAAGGGAAGAAGGGUCCCUGGGCCCCUCCUGCUCAUACCAGAGCCACCUCUAUCCAGUGCUGCACCACUUGGGCUCUCUCUGCUGCCUCCAUGCUGUGGUCCCCGAGGCACGUGGUGAUCACACAACUGGAGACCUGCUCACAGUGCUCCAGUAUGGGAAGCAGAGUAGGUGCCAGGCGCUCCAGACACUCCUUCUGGUCAGGU